AGGCCCUGUGGGGACAGGUGAGGUGUAAUGGAGGCCUGAACUCAGGGUGUGAUGAUAACAUUGCAGUUGUUCCCUCUUCUACCCUAAAGGAGGGGCAAGGAUGGGAUCCCAAGACACACUUCAGGCGGGGGAAGGCAUUUAGAAGACCAGAGAUGGGUCCAAGAAUUCUUAAACUCCAAGUUGCCCUGAAGUAGUCCUUUGCUAGCAAGGCCUUUCUGAGCACUCCCGUGGCUCCUCCCAGAGCAGGCUCACACCAACUCACUGCUUUCAGACCACAAGCAAGAGUCCACCCCAGCAGAGCCUGAAGAACCCCUGGGAAGCAGUUUUAUGGACAAUGAGGGUCAAGUGAAAUGCUCUCGGUGCCCAGCUUCACAUGCAGUGAAAGUCCACGCCAAUCCUCAGAAGUUUAGAUCAAGAGUAAAACGCUAAGGUUAGACUGGGCCUAAUUCACUGAUGUGGGACCCACCUGGUUUCAGGAUCUAAUAUUUUUCCUUGGUCAUCUGUUGGGUGGAUGAGCUUGGAGUUUGGAUUCAACAGUGGCCUCGCUCAUAAAAAAGAAAUGUCAGCACCUCUUUGGAAUAGGGGGAGGGAAACAUCUGGAGGUCGAGAGAAGCAGACUCACUGAAGCAGAUGAAGUCUAUGGCACCUGCUAGCCUCCUAGGAGAGCAGAGGACACUCCCUCCACCGGAGCAAAGAGGAAUUCACGCACAGGGUGCCCCUCCCCCGCUCUUGCUGAAGACCUCUAGGAGCCAGAGUGGACUGUGGAGGGCUCAAGGGGACCUUGGAUCAGCUGGAUAGCCCACAGUAUCAUGGCAGCAGAUUAUAUUGGUGCCAUUUUGCUAAUUGGACCUGGUGCUAGGGAGGUAGCCAGAAUCCUAGCUGUCACAGUGUUUGCAGCACUGUCCCAGCAGUCAUCCGCAUCUACAUCAAGGAACAGCACCUUGGAAUUUGGUUUAGAGAAGAAUAAGAGGAAGUUGGUCAUUCUACAAGGCCCACAGCUUGCGCCCGGGAAGUCCAACACUGCAGGGUUAUCUCCUGCAGCAUCCACGGCCUCCGAAAAAGCUUCUCUGCUCUUAAUCCACUUCAUUACUUUGGCUGUUGUAGGAAGGCUCCUGAUGAGCUACUGAAGAAACAGAUCUGAGGCGCCAGAUAGCAUGCAAUCUAAUACAAGUUAUUAUAAUUGUUGUGUGUGUGUGUCUGUAUAUAUAUAUAUACACAUGCAUGUCCUUAGCACUUAGUUAUACAAGAUGACCCAUGGCUGUCAGCCAGCUGUUUCUCCCACACCCUAGGGUUCCAUCAAUAGGUGGAAGUAGCCUUGACAGUCAUAAUGUAGCCUACACUCGCA